GCAAGGGUGGCGAAAUUGGUAGACGCACUGGCCUUAGGAGCCAGCGCUAGUGAUAGCGUGGGGGUUCGAGUCCCUUCCCUUGCACCA
rnacentral:tRNA from 1 species